AAAACAUCGCCUCCUGCAAUAUAAUUAUGUAUAAGAGGUCCAGCCUGCCCAGUGACCAUAAGUUCAACGGCCGCGGUAUUUUGACCGUGCAAAGGUAGCGCAAUCACUUGUCUUUUAAAUAAAGACCUGUAUGAAUGGCCAAACGAGGGCUUAACUGUCUCCCUUUUCAAGUCAGUGAAAUUGAUCUAUCCGUGCAGAAGCGGGUAUAAUACUACAAGACGAGAAGACCCUUUGGAGCUUAAGGCAUAAAACUCAACCACGUUAAGCAACUCAACAAAAAGUAACUUUUAUUUAAACCUUGUGGUAGAUGAGACCACUGCCUUCGGUUGGGGCGACCACGGAGGAAAAGAAAGCCUCCAAGUAGAACUGAGGUAUUACCUUAAAGCUAAGAAAGACAUCUCUAAGCCACAAAACAUUUGACUAUAAAUGAUCCGGCUAACCAUGACCGAUCAACGAACCAAGUUACCCUAGGGAUAACAGCGCAAUCCUCUCCUAAAUCCAUAUCGACGAGAGGGUUUACGACCUCGAUGUUGGAUCAGGACAUCCUAAUGGUGCAGCCGCUAUUAAGGGUUCGUUUGUUCAACGAUUAAAGUCCUACGUGA
rnacentral:rRNA from 1 species